CAUUAUUGAUGAUGGUUGAAGGGGUGGGUGUGAUCACGUUGAUUGUUGAGUAGAGAAAAGAAAGUAAAUCUUGUGAAUGAAGAUAGAAUGUGAACGUGCUUGUCCUAGUAAUAAGGUGUUAAAUACUUUAUAUGGAAAUGUAACCUCAAAUUAAGGGGAGAAAAUAAAAUAAAACAAGUAUAAAAAGAUCUUUGCGAUCCUUCGUUUUCAAGUUGCAUGAUAUUGGUAUAGUUUUCUUUUUAUGAUAAUAAGUUUUCCG
rnacentral:lncRNA from 1 species